GUAGGUGAACCUGCGGAAGGAUCAUUAUUGAAUGAACUUGGCUCGUUGUUGCUGGUCCUUUCGGGGGCAUGUGCACACUUGUCAUCUUUAUAUUUCCACCUGUGCACAUUUUGUAGGUCCAAAAAAUUUUUCCCGAGACACUCGUUUUGGGGGACUGCCGUUCGUUAAUGUCGGCUUCUCCUGCUGGCCUGUAUAGGUCAAAAAAAAAUUUCCGAGACACUCGUUUGGGGCACUGUCGUCUGGCUUGCCUUGGAUUUAUUGGCCUAUGUUUUCAUAUACACCAUAAUGUAAUAGAAUGUUAUUAAUGGGCUUUGCCUAUAAACUAUAUACAACUUUCAGCAACGGAUCUCUUGGCUCUC
rnacentral:misc_RNA from 1 species